GUGCCACCAAAAUGCGAAGGCUUCAGAUAAUGUAGGGACUGCAGAAAAACCAUGGAUGAGACUAUAUGCCUUAGAGUGCAGUUAUAAAAAUGAGAAAAGCCUGGGACAAUGGCUCUGAAUUAGGACGAGCCUGAAAGGCAUCCCAGUACCCUGCACCCUGUCCUCCAGCCCUACGGACAACAAAACCCGGUCCCUGUGCGCCAGGAGGAGAGCGAGGCAAGAAAAGAAAGCAGAGGGAGGGCCGGCAGCGAGAGAAACCCAUCCUGAAUGCGCUAUCAGAUAAGUGUGGAGAAAAUGACAGAGCAAUGUGGCCCAUGAUGUAUUAGUCUCAUGGAUGCUCAGCCCAUGCCUCAUGCUGCCUUUAAUGCCCUUGCAGAGCAUCAGCAGGAUGCAAGCAAGGAUCAGCAGCAGGCAGGAGCAGCCAGCACCUCCCCUUGCCCUGGGGUCAGUUAUGGCAGCUGUUGUCUCCUGGAUUAGAUCAGCUUCCUUUCAACACUGUGAUGUUCCUGUUGGAUGGGCAGUGUAACAACAAAUGCCUUGUGUGUACCUGAAACUCUUGUCAUAGAAUCACAGAAUCAUUAAGGUUGGGAAAUAUCUCUGAUAUUAGCAAGUUCAGCUGUCAACCCAUGCCUGCUACCAUGCUCGUGCCAACCUCUAUAGCCAUCAAACCAUGUUCCUCAGUCCUACAUCUCUACGGUUCUUGAGUACCUCCAAGAUGGGGAUUACCCCAGCACUCUGAGCAGCAGAUGUUCUCAGCUCACAUUUGGCUUUGAAUUUUACUGCCCAUUUCACACUGGAGGUGGAUCUGCAAGCUGCUCAGCAUCCAACCAGCAGUUCCAGGUGUUUGAGCAGCAGGAGUCACUUCUACCUUUCAACCUUCUCCUGCUAAUGAGAGUGGAAGAUGCAUUGUGCCAGAGAGGUUUUGGAGUCUUCCGGGUAGCUCUGCUAAUGAAAAACAUGAUUCCAGAGCCUGGAUCACAGUGUGAUGCAGGGAAAGCCAACCCAUCUCAUUUCAUAGAAUCGUGGAAUGGCCUGAGUUGAGAACAACCUCAAAGAUCAUCAUUCAACCCCACUUCCAUGGGCAGGAUUGCCAACCACCUCAUCUCUGCCCGCAGCACCUGCUCUGAUUAUUUCUUUUCCUUUAAUCCUAACUGAGGGUCUUCAUUCGUGCUGACUGUGACUGGAGACUCAGAAUCAUACCAUUGCCAUUGAAACAAGUGGUGGCCAAUACACAUGUGCCAUGCAUAGAGAGCAGGAGAGAAACACAAGACGUAGGGAAGCUUCACACUGUAUGCAAGACUUAAGCUGGGCACCCAAAAUCUGCACGUUCACUGCCUGCCUCUGUGCUUACUGCUUCUGGAGCCCAGCG